rnacentral:rRNA from 1 species
CCUACGGGAGGCAGCAGUAGGGAAUAUUGCUCAAUGGGGGAAACCCUGAAGCAGCAACGCCGCGUGGAGGAUGAAGGUUUUCGGAUUGUAAACUCAUUUUGUUAGAGAAGAUAAUGACGGUACCUAACGAAUAAGCACCGGCUAACUCCGUGCCAGCAGCCGCGGGCAUUCGGAGGGUGCAAGCGUUACUCGGAAUCACUGGGCGUAAAGAGGGCGUAGGGGGGAUAGCAAGUUAGGUGUGAAAUCCUAGGGCUUAACCAUAGAACUGCAUUUGAAACUGUUGUUCUUGAGUAUGGGAGAGGUAGGUGGAAUGCUUGGUGUAGGGGUGAAAUCCGUAGAGAUCAAGAGGAAUACUGAUUGCGAAGGCGACCUGCUAGAACAUAACUGACGCUGAUGCGCGAAAGCGUGGGGAGCGAACAGGAUUAGAUACCCUUGUAGUC